rnacentral:hammerhead_ribozyme from 1 species
AUCCAGUUGACGAAUCCGAAAUAGGACGAAACGCGCGUCCUGGAU